rnacentral:tRNA from 1 species
AGAAGCUUAGGAUAAUUUAGACCAAGGGCCUUCAAAGCCCUAAGUGGAAGUUAGAAUCUUCCAGCUCCUG